AAUAUUUCCGAGAUGUUAAUGAACAAGACGUACUUCUAUUUAUCGACAAUAUUUUCCGUUUCGUCCAAGCAGGAUCCGAAGUCUCGGCCUUAUUGGGUAGAAUGCCUUCCGCUGUGGGCUACCAACCCACCUGAGUACCGAAAUGGGUUCUUUACAAGAAAGAAUUACGUCUACCAAAGAGGGAUCUAUAACUUCUAUUCAAGCAGUUUAUGUACCUGCAGACGAUUUAACCGACCCGCCCCUGCUACGACAUUUGCACAUUUAGAUGCUACUACCGUACUAUCAAGAGGAUUAGCUGCCAAAGGUAUCUAUCCCGCAGUAGAUCCUUUAGAUUCAACAUCAACCAUGCUUCAACCUCGGAUUGUUGGUGAGGAACAUUAUGAAACUGCGCAAAGGGUUAAGCAAACUUUACAACGUUAUAAAGAACUCCAGGAUAUUAUAGCUAUCCUCGAGUUAGAUGAAUUAUCCAAAGAGGAUCGUUAACCGUAGCACGAGCACGAAAAAUUGAGUGUUUCUUAUCACAACCCUUUUCGUAGCAGAAGUAUUUACCGGUUCUCCAGGAAAAUAUGUUGGUCUAGCAGAAACAAUUAGAGGAUUUCAAUUGAUCCUUUCCGGAGAAUUAGAUAGUCUUCCUGAACAGGCUUUUUAUUUGGUAGGCAAUAUCGAUGAAGCUACCGCGAAGGCUAUGAACUUAGAAAUGGAGAACAAUUUGAAGAAAUGACCUUAAAUCUUUGUGUACUAACGCCUAAUCGAAUUGUUUGGGAUUCAGAAGUAAAAGAAAUAAUUUUACCUACUAAUAGUGGUCAAAUUGGCGUAUUACCCAACCAUGCCCCUAUUGCCACAGCUGUAGAUAUAGGUAUUUUGAGAAUACGCCUUAAUGGCCAAUGGUUAACGAUGGCUCUUAUGGGUGGUUUUGUUAAA
rnacentral:lncRNA from 1 species